GCUGGUAUUAUCCUAGGAUUUUUCACGCAUAUCCUUCGUUUUUACCUAAAAAUUACCUAUAAUUUCUUACCUAACUUAAUUCACUUCCUCUACAUAAGCUGGUAUUAUCCUAUAGGAUUUUUCACGCAUACCCUUCGUUUUUACCUAAAAACUACCUAUAAUUUCUUACCUAACUUAAUUCACUUCCUCCACAUAAACUGGUAUUAUCCUAUAGGAUUUUUCACGCAGACCCUUCGUUUUUACCUAAAAACGACCUAUAAUUUCUUACCUAACUUAAUUCACUUCCUCUACAUAAGCUGGUAUUAUCCUAUAGGAUUUUUCACGCAUACCCUUCGUUUUUACCUAAAAACGACCUAUAAUUUCUUACCUAACUUAAUUCACUUCCUCUACAUAAACUGGUAUUAUCCUAUAGGAUUUUUCACGCAUACCCUUCGUUUUUACCUAAAAACGACCUAUAAUUUCUUACCUAACCUAAUUCACUUCCUCUACAUAAGCUGGUAUUAUCCUAUAGGAUUUUUCACGCAUACCCUUCGUUUUUACCUAAAAACGACCUAUAAUUUCUUACCUAACUUAAUUCACUUCCUCUACAUAAGCUGGUAUUAUCCUAUAGGAUUUUUCACGCAUACCCUUCAUUUUUACCUAAAAACUACCUAUAAUUUCUUACCUAACUUAAUUCACUUCCUCUACAUAAAUUGGUAUUAUCCUAUAGGAUUUUUCACGCAUACCCUUCGUUUUUACCUAAAAACGACCUAUAAUUUCUUACCUAACUUAAUUCACUUCCUCUACAUAAACUGGUAUUAUCCUAUAGGAUUUUUCACGCAUACCCUUCGUUUUUACCUAAAAACUACCUAUAAUUUCUUACCUAACCUAAUUCACUUCCUCUACAUAAGCUGGUAUUAUCCUAUAGGAUUUUUCACGCAUACCCUUCGUUUUUACCUAAAAACGACCUAUAAUUUCUUACCUAACUUAAUUCACUUCCUCUACAUAAGCUGGUAUUAUCCUAUAGGAUUUUUCACGCAUAACCUUCGUUUUUACCUAAAAACUACCUAUAAUUUCUUACCUAACUUAAUUCACUUCCUCUACAUAAGCUGGUAUUAUCCUAUAGGAUUUUUCACGCAUACCCUUCGUUUUAUACGUUUAUGA
rnacentral:lncRNA from 1 species